UACGUAGGCAGCAAGCGUUGUUCGGAGUUACUGGGCGUAAAGGGUGCGUAGGCGGUUGUUUAAGUUUGGUGUGAAAUCUCCCCGGCUCAACUGGGAGGGUGCGCCGAAUACUGAAUGACUAGAGUGCGGGAGAGGAGAGUGGAAUUCCUGGUGUAGCGGUGAAAUGCGUAGAUAUCAGGAGGAACACCGGUGGUGUAGACGGCUCUCUGGACCGUAACUGACGCUGAGGCACGAAAGCGUGGGUAGCAAACAGG
rnacentral:rRNA from 1 species